rnacentral:rRNA from 1 species
AGUGAACGCUGGCGGUAGGCCUAACACAUGCAAGUCGAACGGCAGCACAGUAAGAGCUUGCUCUUACGGGUGGCGAGUGGCGGACGGGUGAGGAAUACAUCGGAAUCUACUUUUUCGUGGGGGAUAACGUAGGGAAACUUACGCUAAUACCGCAUACGACCUACGGGUGAAAGCAGGGGAUCUUCGGACCUUGCGCGAUUGAAUGAGCCGAUGUCGGAUUAGCUAGUUGGCGGGGUAAAGGCCCACCAAGGCGACGAUCCGUAGCUGGUCUGAGAGGAUGAUCAGCCACCCUGGAUCUGAGACACGGUCCCGACUCCUACGGGAGGCAGCAGUGGGGAAUAUUGGACAAUGGGCGCAAGCCUGAUCCAGCCAUACCGCGUGGGUGAAGAAGGCCUUCGGGUUGUAAAGCCCUUUUGUUGGGAAAGAAAAGCAGCAGGUUAAUCCCCCGCUGUUCUGACGGUACCCAAAGAAUAAGCACCGGCUAACUUCGUG